GCUGUCCUUAGUACGAGAGGACCGGGAUGGACAUACCUCUGGUGUACCAGUUGUCGUGCCAACGGCAUAGCUGGGUAGCUAUGUAUGGACGGGAUAAGUGCUGAAAGCAUCUAAGCAUGAAGCCCCCCUCAAGAUGAGAUUUCCCAACUUCGGUUAUAAGAUCCCUCAAAGAUGAUGAGGUUAAUAGGUUCGAGGUGGAAGCGUAGCGAUACGUGGAGCUGACGAAUACUAAUCGAUCGAAGACUUAAUCAAUUU
rnacentral:rRNA from 1 species